CAUUCGAGCGUCAUCCGCCAUCUUUAAAGUUUGACUAGAUGCGACCUGAUGUGGGCUACGUUUUAGAAAAAGAAGAUAACUUUUCCCAGGGAACUACAAGAUGACGCAGCUAAAUGGAUUCUGGCCAGGGUGCAGCAUUUCUUGGAGGUGAUUUUUCAAGUGAAGAUUGUACAGGUUUUUCCCUUUUCAGCAUUUAUUCAAGUUUCUCAUUUAAAUUUAGAUGACUAGUACGGGUUUUGCUGUGCACCUGAGGUGAACCAGAAGUUCUUAAUCUCGCCGCAGUUUGUACAGACCGAUACAUACAUGUGGGAUGCAAGAGCUUGGCAGGCCUUCAAGAUUUAAUUAACUAACUCAAUUAUGUAAUAAAAAGGACUUAACUAAGA
rnacentral:lncRNA from 1 species